UGGAGUAAUUAAAGUAAUCAGUUAAAACAUUUGAUUGCAAUCAAUCAGUUAGCUUUUUUCGUCAAAUAUUUUUGCGCGGGAAGCCACAAGCGACAUCGCUUCUAGUCAGUCACAAAUGUUCGUGGUAAGAUGAGGUUUGAUUUUGUGUAGGAUGUAUAGAUAGGCUGACUGUGGGUUAUGACAGUGAGUUCGAAACAAUAUUCAGGUGCAGAAAUAUUAAAGGUUAAAGAUUCAAAGACAAAAAGUAACGAACGGGAAAUAUUACAACGUUUUAAAACAGGACAAUUUAUCAUUGCACCAAAAGAAAUUCGCCAAGUUCCAGGUUUUCUUCCCGAGUGAGAUGGAGGCCUAUCACGUCUGAAGAGCAACUUACUGAAACACUUUUUGAAAGCGGGGAAGACAAUUUAUCAUUAUAUCUAAAGACAUGCGGAGUUAUUUGUCCGAUUAUGCAUCACUGAGAGAGGUGGCUGCCUCGAGUCUAAGAGCAAUUGUUGGGAAGAAAAAGAAGAGAGGACCUGAAUAUUAAGUUUUCUAAAACACUGCUUGAAAGAGUCAUUGCAUCAAACGGAAUCGACAUUGUUAAUAGUCUGGUGCAUUUUGGAGUGAGAUGGAAGCCUAUAGAGUCUAAAGAGUAAAGAGCAAGUGCAGAAAUAUUAAAGGUUAAAGAUUCAAAGACACAAAGUAACGAACGGGAAAUAUUACAACGUUUUAAAACAGGACAAUUUAUCAUUGCACCAAAAGAAAUUCGCCAAGUUCCAGGAUUUCUUCACUGAGUGAGAUGGAGGCCUAUCACGUCUGAAGAGCAACUUACUGAAACACUUCUUGAAAGCGGGAAAGACAAUUUAUCAUUAUAUCUAAAGACAUGCGGAGUUAUUUGUCCGAUUAUGCAUCACUGAGAAAGGUGGCUGCCUCGAGUCUAAAGAGCAAUUUUCUAAAACACUGCUUGAAAGAGUCAUUGCAUCAAACGGAAUCGACAUUGUUAAUAGUCUGGUGCAUCACGGAGUGAGAUGGAAGCCUAUAGAGUCUAAAGAGUAAAGAGCAAGAUUCCUCAAUUAAGGAACUUGACGAUUCUUUAUGUAUUUCAAAAGAAAAUAAAACUCAAUUAUUCAAAUAUGAAGAAGAGUUUUAUUGAAGAUAACUAAGAUGUGCUAGCCAACAAAUGCAUUGAGUCCAUACACAAGACUUUGAUAUUGAAAAAAGUCACUGUUUGUUUGAGACUGUGUCCCAUUGCCAUACGUACUUUAAGCUCGUAUGCAUGUGCACUUAUUACCAGUAUGUGGUAGAAAACAAAUGCAUUGGGCAGCAUACACGAAUGCCUUUAUAUCAAAUAAGACUGUUGUUUAAAGCUAUACCAAAAUGCCAUACACAAUGUAAAAGGAUUAUAUGCGGAAGUUUAACAUGGGUCAACCCGUGAGGAAUUAACUAUUUGUAUAAUUUGAACAAUUGCAAACGGAUUCUUGAUUGUAUAUUUAUCAAUGAAUUGAAUCAUAGCUCAGAAAACUAAAUACAAUUGGUAUUUGUAUUUUGACACCCUGCAAUGUAAUCCUGUAUUUGAUGUCCUGGUAUGAAAAAUUUAAAAUAAUUCUUUCGUUUUACGUUAUUCUUAUAUUUUUAUUACUGUUAUUAUAUGUUACUGAUUUGUGAUUUAUAUUAUUGUUUAUUACUGAUAUUGUAUAUUUUUUAAAUAGC